rnacentral:rRNA from 1 species
GUAAUGUCUGGGAAACUGCCCGAUGGAGGGGGAUAACUACUGGAAACGGUAGCUAAUACCGCAUAACGUCGCAAGACCAAAGAGGGGGACCUUAGGGCCUCUUGCCAUCGGAUGUGCCCAGAUGGGAUUAGCUAGUAGGUGGGGUAAUGGCUCACCUAGGCGACGAUCCCUAGCUGGUCUGAGAGGAUGACCAGCCACACUGGAACUGAGACACGGUCCAG